rnacentral:lncRNA from 1 species
CUCAAGUCGACUUAACCCGGCUGGAAGCGUCGUCGCAAGCAGCGCGUCGCAGACAAAGCGGAGUUAAUCGCAUACAACCCAGAGGCCACGCCCGGCUUCCGACGGUUGCUGAUUUUUUGCUCGCGACUUUCGUGAAGCGAAAGAAAUGGCUGCCCAGGCGAGCGUCCUCUCCGCGCCGUUCGCGGGGUCCUCCCCCGCGGUCGCGCGCUCCCGCGCUCCGGCGCGCGCGUCCAAGGUUGUGGUUGCCUCCCGCGGGUACCCCCGCGCGGCACCUGUCAGCCUCGCCACCGCGCGUCGCCCGCAGUCGCUCUCGGCCGGUGUUCCGGUCGUCCGGGUUCGCUUCGCAGCGAGGCCCGGGGCCGUCCGUGCCUCCGUCAGGG